AACUGAAGAGUUUGAUCAUGGCUCAGAUUGAACGCUGGCGGCAGGCUUAACACAUGCAAGUCGAGCGGAAACGAUGUAGCUUGCUACAGGCGUCGAGCGGCGGACGGGUGAGUAACGCGUAGGAAUCUGCCUAGUAGAGGGGGACAACAUGUGGAAACGCAUGCUAAUACCGCAUACGCCCUGAGGGGGAAAGGAGGGGAUCACUUGUGACCUUCCGCUAUUAGAUGAGCCUGCGUGAGAUUAGCUAGUUGGUAGGGUAAAGGCCUACCAAGGCGACGAUCUCUAACUGGUCUGAGAGGAUGACCAGUCACACUGGGACUGAGACACGGCCCAGACUCCUACGGGAGGCAGCAGUGGGGAAUAUUGGACAAUGGGCGCAAGCCUGAUCCAGCCAUGCCGCGUGUGUGAAGAAGGCCUUAGGGUUGUAAAGC
rnacentral:rRNA from 1 species